rnacentral:tRNA from 2 species
GGACCCGUGGCGGAACUGGCAGACGCAGCGGACUUAAAAUCCGCGUCCCCGUCAAAAGGGAGUGAGGGUUCGAAUCCCUCCGGGUCCA